AGGGAUUAAAGGCGCAACGAUA
rnacentral:miRNA from 1 species